rnacentral:rRNA from 1 species
GUGGGGAAUAUUGGACAAUGGGCGAAAGCCUGAUCCAGCAAUGCCGCGUGAGUGAAGAAGGCCUUAGGGUUGUAAAGCUCUUUUACCCGGGAAGAUAAUGACUGUACCGGGAGAAGAAGCCCCGGCUAACUUCGUGCCAGCAGCCGCGGUAAUACGAAGGGGGCUAGCGUUGUUCGGAUUUACUGGGCGUAAAGCGCACGUAGGCGGUUUGUUAAGUCAGGGGUGAAAUCCCGGAGCUCAACUCCGGAACUGCCUUUGAUACUGGCAAGCUAGAGUCCGGAAGAGGUAAGUGGAACUCCUAGUGUAGAGGUGGAAUUCGUAGAUAUUAGGAAGAACACCAGUGGCGAAGGCGGCUUACUGGUCCGGAACUGACGCUGAGGUGCGAAAGCGUGGGGAGCAAACAGGAUUAGAUACCCGAGUAGUCC